AUAAGCAGCCAUAUCACCCUGUAGCCCAAGACUGGUUGCCCACUGAAGCUAAGCAGGGUUGAGCCUGGUCAGUACCUGGAUGGGAGACCUCCUGGGAAAACUAGGUUGCUGUUGGAA
rnacentral:rRNA from 1 species